UAAGGCGGCACGCCGCGCUCCACCCGUCCUGUUCCCCUUGCCUGCACAAACUGUCCCAUCUGCCCCAUCCGCGAGCCCUACAACCUGGGUCGGCACGGCAGGGCCUCCUCACCGAUAAGGCGGCACGCGGCGGUGAGCGCUGCGUAGACGACGAGGUAAUUGUCCGACCUGAGGUCCUUCUGGAUGGUGUUGACCACGAGGAUGACGAGGUCGUGGCGUUCGUCGAGAAAGAGCGCGACGGCGCGGUAACCGGUCCGCUUGAGCGGGAGCGACUCGUCGUGAGUCAUCUUAACAGCGUGGAUGUGGCAGAAGGAGGCGUCGUGGCCAAGCAUCUCGACGUAGACGAGGCGG
rnacentral:misc_RNA from 1 species